UUCUUCCAGGGCAAGGCAAAGAAUAAAUUGGAGUUUUUAAGAAGGCAGAUACUUAUUUUGCUUCUUUCACUGUGCUAAUUCCUCAUGCUUGCUUUGUGUUCGUGUGUUUUUUUGGGUGUGCCUGGGCACAGCCAGCCCAGGCAGGAGUGACACAACCCCCGCACCAGCACCGGGUCGGCUGUUAAAACAUGGGAUGGAACCUGCCUGGGAUUUGUGCCUCACGUGCUCCCUCCUGCUCUGCUGUGGGACUGUGGCCUUGGAAAUACAUCAGGAGGGUGAAGUCCCAUAUCCACGAAAACCAGCCAGAUCUGAGAUAUUUUGCUGAAGAGACAUUUAAAGGUGGUCAAGAAGGACUUUCUUUCGGAUAAUACAAUUCCCCUGCCUGAAACAAGGGAGACACUUGAGUCCUGUCUUCUGGAACAAGGUGGAUCAGUGAAGCUGCUCUGCCUUUCUUGACAGCACCAUUAGUGGUAUCUGCUACUGCUGGAGGUGAAUUAAAACUUAACAAUAACAAUUCUGGGCUCUGGGCCAGUUUCCAAAUGGAAAAGGCAAAGAGACCUGACAGACUGUCUUCUUGAGGUUCAUUGGCAACUCAGGUAAGGGAACUUCAGUGUUGGAAUGAACUGAUUUAAAACAUUUUGCUCUGAUCUGCAUUUCAAAGUAACUAUUCUGUAAAAUGUCCAGCAUGUUAAGAGUGAACAAAUAGUUUCAAGAAGAUAAACCACUUUAUUUCCUUCAAUUAGCCGCUUAAAUUGUUCACUCCAAUUGAAAUCCAUUUCUUGCUUAAUUCAAAGUAAACCUCUGAGUUGCUGCGUGAUCCAACUCUCUACUGAAUUCCUCUACCUGCAGCUGGAUUUUGGUGUGAUAUCCUCAUUAUUCCACCUAAGAUAAAAUAGUUGAUUUGGGGACUAAGAUGAUCCUGCCUCUCAGAGAGGUGUGGGAGUGGAGGACACACCUGCUUUCCUUUUUUGUUGCAGUGAGUAAAGCACAGGUGGAACAGAUUCUCCAUGAAAUGUGGGGACAUUGUCCCCUGUGUGGAGGUGGAGACACAGCUCCAGGCUAUGCUAGUGCUGAAUGUUGAGUGGAAAAAGAUGCUGUAACUUUGGUUUCCAAGCUGCAGGUGCACUUUCCUCAGAAA